rnacentral:rRNA from 1 species
GCAGAACGCGAAGAACCUUACCUGGGCUCGAACGGCGGACGACGUCUCUUAGAAAUAGGAGAGUUUCCUUCGGGAACGGCCGUCGAGGUGCUGCAUGGCUGUCGUCAGCUCGUGUCGUGAGAUGUUGGGUUAAGUCCCGCAACGAGCGCAACCCUUGUCCUGUGUUGCUAAUCUUCGGAUGCACUCUCAGGAGACCGCCAGCGACAAGCUGGAGGAAAGUGGGGAUGAUGUCAAGUCAGCAUGGCCUUUAUGUCCAGGGCUACACACGUGCUACAAUGGGCAGGACAGACCGUUGCAAACCCGCGAGGGGGAGCUAAUCGGAGAAACCUGUUCUCAGUUCGGAUUGCAGGCUGCAACUCGCCUGCAUGAAGCUGGAAUCGCUAGUAAUGGCAGAUCAGCAUGCUGCCGUGAAUACGUUCCCGGGUCUUGUACACACCG